AGCGAACGCUGGCGGCAGGCCUAACACAUGCAAGUCGAACGAACUCUUCGGAGUUAGUGGCGGACGGGUGAGUAACACGUGGGAACGUGCCUUUAGGUUCGGAAUAACUCAGGGAAACUUGUGCUAAUACCGAAUGUGCCCUUCGGGGGAAAGAUUUAUCGCCUUUAGAGCGGCCCGCGUCUGAUUAGCUAGUUGGUGAGGUAAAGGCUCACCAAGGCGACGAUCAGUAGCUGGUCUGAGAGGAUGAUCAGCCACAUUGGGACUGAGACACGGCCCAAACUCCUACGGGAGGCAGCAGUGGGGAAUCUUGCGCAGUGGGCGAAAGCCUGACGCAGCCCUGCCGCGUGAAUGAUGAAGGUCUUAGGAUUGUAAAAUUCUUUCACCGGGGAAGAUAAUGACGGUACCUGGAGAAGAAGCCCCGGCUAACUACGUG
rnacentral:rRNA from 1 species